rnacentral:rRNA from 1 species
GACAGAGGGUGCAAACGUUGUUCGGAAUACUGGCGUAAGCGAAGUGUAGGCGGUCUCAUAAGUCGGGUGUGAAAGCCCUGGGCUCAACCCAGGAAGUGCACUCGAUACUGCGAGGCUAGAGUAUCGGAGAGGUUGGUGGAAUUCUCGGUGUAGAGGUGAAAUUCGUAGAUAUCAGGAGGAACACCGAUGGCGAAGGCAGGUCUCGUGGGGCAUUAACUGACGCUGAGGAGCGAAAGCAUGGGGAGCGAACAGG